rnacentral:rRNA from 1 species
GACGAACGCUGGCGGCGUGCCUAAUACAUGCAAGUAGAACGCACAGUUUAUACCGUAGCUUGCUACACCAUAGACUGUGAGUUGCGAACGGGUGAGUAACGCGUAGGUAACCUGCCUGGUAGCGGGGGAUAACUAUUGGAAACGAUAGCUAAUACCGCAUAAUAUUGAUUAUUGCAUGAUAAUUGAUUGAAAGAUGCUAUUGCAUCACUACCAGAUGGACCUGCGUUGUAUUAGCUAGUAGGUGAGGUAACGGCUCACCUAGGCGACGAUACAUAGCCGACCUGAGAGGGUGAUCGGCCACACUGGGACUGAGACACGGCCCAGACUACUACGGGAGGCAGCAGUAGGGAAUCUUCGGCAAUGGACGAAAGUCUGACCGAGCAACGCCGCGUGAGUGAAGAAGGUUUUCGGAUCGUAAAGCUCUGUUGUAAGAGAAGAACGGGUGUGAGAGUGGAAAGUUCACACUGUGACGGUAUCUUAACAGAAAGGGACGGCUAACUACGUG